AAGUAAACACGACAACAGGCCAACAUUUUGCUGAAUCGAGUAUGAGGUGAAUGAAAGAGCACUUUUUGUUUUUGGUCCAGAGGCCCGUUUACUCACCAAAAGUCAAGUAAGUGAUCAGACCCGCCCUUCAGUCCAGCUGCUUCCGCUCGUAAUUUGUAUCGACGACUGCUCCAAAAUUUGUUGAGACUCGAUGAGUUUUACUUCCUCUGCAUUCCAAUGGUUUACUUUACUUCCUAGGACGAGUUCACUUGUUCCGUGCCGAUCCUCACGCUGAUAUAGACGCGAUAUGUCAUGAAGUAUACACUGUGAUGGAAAAUUGGUGCUCAAGGCCUCCGAUAAUCGACAGUCUUUAUUAGGGAGGAAAGGAAAAGAUGAAGCUUCAUUAAAAUUGUCUGAAGUAUAAGACAAACCAAGAGGCUAAGAAGAUGGGAAAACUUAACGAUAUAUUCUUCACUUUGAUGACUCGGGGACCGGAACGUAUGUGUACGGGGGCAUCUGAAAAUCACUCUCCAUGUUUUUCAUUAAAUUUAGACAGUAAGAAAAAGCGCGCAUAUAUUUUUCUGAAAUAGUUUGAAGUCGUUUUAAAUGCAAACGAUCAGCAUGAGACGCACGUUUAUGUU